rnacentral:rRNA from 1 species
AGGGCACCMCCMGGAGUGGAGCCUGSGGCUUAAUUUGACUCAACACGGGAAAACUCACCCRGCCCGGACACUGGAAGGRUUGASAGAUUGAKRGCUCUUUCUUGAUUCRGUGGGUGGUGGUGCMUGGYCGUUCUUAGUUGGUGGAGCGAUUUGUCKGGWUAAUUCCGAUAACGAACGAGACUCUAGCCUACUAAAUAGAUCGWUGGCUUACAAACGCCAAUGAGACUKCUUAGAGGGACAGGCGGYGAUUCAGCCGCACGAAACAGAGCAAUAACAGGUCUGUGAUGCCCUUAGAUGUCCGGGGCCGCACGCGCGCUACACUGAAGUGAUCAGCGUGCAUUCUCAGCCUACUCUGCCAAGAGUGGGAAACCCAAUGAACCUUCUUCGUGAUUGGGAUAGGAGAUUGUAAUUAUUCUCCUUGAACRAGGAAUUCCCAGUAAGCGCGAGUCAUAAGCUCGCGUUGGUUACGUCCCUGCCCUUUGUACACACCGCCCGUCGCUACUACCGAUUGAAUGUUUU